rnacentral:snRNA from 1 species
AUACUUACCUGACAGGGAAGAUACCAUGAUCACGAAGGUGGUUUUCUCAGGGCAAGGCUUAUCCAUUGCACUCCAGAUAUGCUGACCCCUGCGAUUUUCCCAAAUGUGGGAAACUCGACUGCAUAACUUGCAC